CCUACGGGAGGCAGCAGUGGGGAAUAUUGCACAAUGGGCGAAAGCCUGAUGCAGCAACGCCGCGUGAGCGAUGAAGGCCCUCUGGUCGUAAAGCUCUGUCCUCAAGGAAGAUAAUUACGGUACUUGAGGAGGAAGCCUCGGCUAACUACGUUCCAGCAGCCGCGGUAAUACGUAGGGGGCUAGCGUUAUCCGGAAUUACUGGGCGGAAAGGGGGCGUAGGUGGUUUCUUAAGUCAGAGGUGAAAGGCUACGGCUCAACCGUAGUAAGCCUUUAAAAAUGGGGAACUUGAGUGCAGGAGAGGAGAGUGGAAUUCCUAGUGUAGCGGUGAAAUGCGUAGAUAUUAGGAGGAACACCAGUUGCGAAGGCGGCUCGCUGGACUGUAACUGACACUGAGGCACGAAAGCGUGGGGAGCAAACAGGAUUAGAUACCCUGGUAGUC
rnacentral:rRNA from 1 species